GGUCUUGCUCUGUCUCCCAUGCUGGAGUGCAGUGGUAUGAUCACGGCUCACUGCAGCCAUGACCUCCCAGGCUCGAGGGAUCCUCCCAGCUCAGCCUCCCAAGACCGGCUUGGACUUGUGACCUGUGCAGUCACACAAGGCCCUGCACGUGGUUUAAUGCUCCGCUGUCACCAUCUUGAAAUUCUUAAUACCUUGAACGAGGGGUCCUGUAUUUUUGUUUCAUGCUGGGCCCAGCAAAUUACAUAGGUGGUCCUGCCUUUGGGGUUCUGCAAGGCGACUAACUGUGAAGCAUGCAUCGAGUUACAGUUUUAAAUCUUAACAUGACUUCAUCUGUUAUGGCCUACCCAGGACAGUGCGGGAAGCUGGGUGCCCCUUAAGAAAGGAGUCUGGGCUGAAGGAGAUGGAGAGGUAGGAAGGGUUGGGGUCCUGAAUGUCAGCUUUGCCAGGGCCAUGCCUCGCAGCCAUGUCCUUCCUGCCUGUCUACCACAGGCCAGGAGGUGAACAGUCAUUCUGUAAUUCACAUGCAGUAAAGCUUUUUGAGAGUUCUGUUUUUCACCUGGAACUGCCAAGUCAUUUGGUGAAGAUUUCCUGCUUGUUUGAAGUCUGCAGAGAAAAACCACUAAUGAAACAUACCACAUUUGGAAAUGAACUUUUUAAAGUAUGUAUCCAUAAGUUCUUAUUUCAGCUCUUCCUUUUAUUUUAUAAAUGCCUGUCUUAUUUCAAAAGGGACUUUCAGGCAGAGGUAUAACAACAUAAUAAGAACAAUACAUUUGAGAAACAGGACUGAAAAGAAACUAGGGCAAAGUCAGGGGUAAAAUUGGAUCACAAAUGCAUACCACGAGGUCUUACUGAAUUUAAAAUUUACAAAUGCCUGUAAGCUUCCCAGUCGCAGAACAAAGGAACACAAUUGGUCAUAUCUAUAUGCAGCAGGAGAAGGGUUGGGCGGACAGCAGCUCGCAACUUGGCUUCCACCGUCCGCCGCAGAGAAUUUAGAGGCGUCUUGGGAACAUGAGUGGGGCUAUCCAGGAAUCUGUUUACCUGAGGGACUAAGUCCUGUCCCUUGGACAUCCCCAAAUAGUCCAGAAUGAAGCUUUAUUUGGAGAAGAGGGGCAGUUCGGAGCACUUCAUGACGUCUUGUCACCCAGUUUGUCCCACAUCUGCCUUCAAACUGAGUGGGACUUGAGCAAACAACACCCAGAGCUUCACUCUUCCCCACCACUGUGCUGGCCCUGCGGUGUUGUGAGUUGGUGGCUCCAGUGACAUGGCGGUGGCAGUGAGCCUGGCGCUGGCAGUGUUGGUGACACUCACGUGGUGGUGGUGGCACCAGCACUGGUGGUGUCUGUACCAGCAGGAGAGGCAGCACCGGCACCUCCAAAGUGGAUGCAGCAGCAUCACGGUGGCCACAGGUGCCAAUCGGCUGUAGUAGGUGUGGAGGCAGUGGCUGGGAGUGGCUCGCAGCAAGGGCGAGCUCUGUGGACAACUCCAUGGGUGACAGAAGCCUGGACACGGGAGACCUUGGGGAGCCUUAUCCAAGGAGGUGCUUGAGGCUCCCCCUUGAGGAAGACCUCUCCAGUGGUGGGGGAAUUUGGAGCCAAAGAAAGCUCCUUAUGUUGUCAAAAUGUCCCUUUUUUAACCUUAGGAUGUUGUGACCCCUGAAGGUAUUAAUGAUAUUCUAGAGCAUUUGAAAGACAACAGCCAACUAGCUGGUUAAGCGCAGCUCAGUUUUUCCCCAGUGUGUGUGGGUGGCUGAGCACACAUUCAUUAAUUCAGUGAUUCAUUCAGCCAACAUCUGCGGAACCCCUGCUGGCUUCUGGAGUCAGAUUGCGGGGAUCUGAAUCGGGCUUGCCACUUACUAGUCUAUGACCUUGAGCAAAUGACGUGAUUCCUCUAAUACCCAGUUUCCCCAUCUGUAAUAUGAAAUGUGAAUACUAAGUAUCCGCCUCAUUGGGUUUUAGGAGAAUCAAAUGCAUGUCAAGUGUUUAACAUGGUGCCUGGCACAGAUUAAAACAUCCAAGAAGUGUGAGUUAUGAUUAAAGGCUGUGAAAUGUACAAAG